CGUUUCCUGACAGGUCAUGACCCUCCCCACUUCCGGAAGCCCACCGUUAAUUGUUCCAACAGCAGAGGCGAACUCAGUUUGCUGCUAGAGCGCCUGCUCAGAGUUCCUGCACUGAGCGCUUUCGUUUCUUGGUUUUGUGUGUGUGUGUGAGCUAUGGCUCGUUCCUCAAGGGCUCUCUUGGAACCUAGUGUGGGAACCCACGGGUGCCGGGCACCCUCGGUGGUAUCAGAGAGGCAGAUCUUCUUAGGGUUAUUAUUGCAGCUAUGACAACUGUUGUUAAAACAAGACAAAGAGGCUCAAACCCAAGCUCCUUGAAUGACAAAAACGAAAGAAUCAACCCCCACGACUGUUUGACUCAUGAAAUGAACAAGUCCUAAAGAUCUGUGGAUCCAACAGUUUUUGGUCGUGGCUACUAAGUCAUUGGGAAGAACCUUACCAGUGACACAUACUUAAGGUUGUUAAAGUUUCUAUUUCCCACUGUCCAAGAGUUCUUGCAAACUCGUUGGAACAGUGUUUCUCAACUUUUGGCUGGAGAUCCUUAUUCAAAGGUUACCUAAGACCAUCUGAAAAGAGGUAUUUACAUUACAAUUUAUAAGUGUAGCAAAAUUGCAGUUAUGGAGUAGCAAUGAAAGUUUUAUGGUUGGGGGGUCACCACAACAUGAAGAGCUGUAUUUAAGGGUCACAGCAUCAGGAAGGUUGAGAACCUCUGAGUUAGAACAACUGAUACAGGGAUCUAUAGCUAAACAAUAUGAAGAGAGUGAGACUUUAGAGCUUAAGGUCUUAAAUGUGAUGUCUCCACCAAAUCCCUCCCCACCAAGGCACAAGAGUCUAGGCCAAAAAGGAGGCAGAAAGAUACAAGCGUCAGAGGUGACAGAGGACUGAAGGAGGUAGUGUUUUCCAGAUAGAGCAGGACUGAUAGACAAGUGAACUCAGAGACUGUGGCAGCACACACAAGGCCUGCACACUGUCAGCCACAGGGUAUCCUGACACCGAGAGCAGGAUGUGGACAAUAAAUAAAGGAAAAAAAGAAGGGGUCCAGCUUCUUCUUCUUCCUCUUCUUCU
rnacentral:lncRNA from 1 species